UUUUGGACAAUGGGCGCAAGCCUGAUCCAGCAAUGCCGCGUGAGUGAAGAAGGCCUUCGGGUUGUAAAGCUCUUUUGUCAGGGAAGAAACGGUGAGCUCUAAUACAGUUUGCUAAUGACGGUACCUGAAGAAUAAGCACCGGCUAACUACGUGCCAGCAGCCGCGGUAAUACGUAGGGUGCAAGCGUUAAUCGGAAUUACUGGGCGUAAAGCGUGCGCAGGCGGUUAUGUAAGUCAGAUGUGAAAUCCCCGGGCUCAACCUGGGAAUGGCAUUUGAGACUGCAUGGCUAGAGUGUGUCAGAGGGGGGUAGAAUUCCACGUGUAGCAGUGAAAUGCGUAGAGAUGUGGAGGAAUACCGAUGGCGAAGGCAGCCCCCUGGGAUAACACUACGCUCAUCACGAA
rnacentral:rRNA from 1 species